AAUCAGCGGCGGCGGAACAGAUUUCGUUCUGGGGGGGCUAAAUUUUUUCGGCGACCCCCCCCCCGUCGCCAAAAAAAUUUCGGUCAGUGUACCACUUUAGGGGUACAAUAUACAAAAAAAGGGACGAAAAAAUUUUUUUCGGACUUAUAUCAAAAUUUUUUUUCGGAAAUACACUUUUUUUAAACAAAAUAUUGCAAAUUUGUCC